AAGCCCACAAGCACCGAGGGAACCCGUCUGGGCUUUACUAUAUUGAUGCAGAUGGAAGUGGCCCCCUGGGACCAUUUCUUGUGUACUGCAAUAUGACAGAUAUUAGAAAUGAACACUGCUUGGGCUGGGCAUGGUGGCUCACGCCUGUAAUCUCAGCACUUUGGGAGGCCAAGGCGGGCAGAUCACGAGAUCCAGAGAUUGAGACCAUCCUGGCCAACGUGGUGAAACCCCAUCUCUACUAAAAAUACAAAAAUUAGCUGGGCAUGGUGGCACCCGCGCCUGUAGUCCCAGCUACUUGGGAGGCUGAGGCAGGAGAAUCCCUUGAACCAGGGAGGCAGAGGUUGCAGUGAGCCAAGGUUGCGCCAUUGCACUCCAGCCUGACGACAGAGCAAGACUGCAUCUCAAAAAAAAAAAAAA
rnacentral:lncRNA from 10 species